rnacentral:rRNA from 1 species
CUCGUCUCCGAGACUAAGCCAUGCAAGUCCAAGUACACGUCCUUGAACGACGGAAACUGCGAACGGCUCAUUAAAUCAGUUGCGAUCUACUCGGCGUUCCGCGCCGCCGGAUAACCGUAGUAAUUCUAGGGCUAAUACGUGCGAAGCGCCCGAAGCCGCGAGGCGACGGCGUUCUCGCCGGAUGUAGGAACCGACCCGGGGACCGCCGGGGGCAACCCGGCGCCCCCGAGACGGGGCGAACCACGGUGAAAUGACGGAUCGUCGGCCCCGCGCCGGCGACUCGCCGAAUGAGUUUCUGACCUAUCAACUCGAGACGGCGGGGUAGAGGCCCGCCGCGGUAACGACGGGUAACGGAGGAUUAGGGUUUUGAUUCCGGAGAAGGAGCAUGAGAAACGGCUACUAUUUCUAAGGAAAGCAGCAGGC